rnacentral:misc_RNA from 1 species
AAGUCGUAACAAGGUUUCCGUAGGUGAACCUGCGGAAGGAUCAUUAACACGUAUCCAACGUUAAACCCCCCGUGAACUAGUGUCUGAAAGUGUCACUAGCUCUGUACGGAUGGCGCAGUCACGAUCGCUGGAGGCCGACACGGCCGGCGACCGGGUCACCGGGCAUCCCCCCUAUCACCCCUUUGCAUGAAAACGGGCCUGCGCUUAAUUGUGCGGCCACCAAACUCGAACAACUGUUAACAAUGGAUAUCUUGGUUCUC